CGACGGACGCAACGCCCGGUCUCCGCCUGCCCCAAUCCCGACUCCAGGCCGUCGUCCCCAACACACCAUGAGGACGAAGAUGGCGGCGGCGCUGGUCCGGGCCUCCGAGGGGAUCGGACCUCCUACGCCUGCCCGAUCCUCCUACUUCUCCUCGCGCUGCUCCUCGCUGUCCCCGCUCGCGGCCACCUCCAACGCCUCCUCCCACGCCUACGCCUUCGCGGGCCGUCAGCCGGUGCCCGCCCCGGAUCCCACCUUCUUCGACGAUGUCGUCGACGCCAUCGUCGACAAGUACGGCUGGGACCCCGACGCCGAGGUCCGGGUUUGGCCGCUCGACGCCGAGGGCGCGCUCGUCGACGCCGUGCAGCGCUACGAGUUCCCCGCCCGCGUGGGGCCCCGCGGUGGCGCUGGCGCGGGCCUCCGACGGGGCCGUCGACUGGAGCCGCCCCGACGCCCCCGGGGUGGAGGAGGUGGUCGGGCCCGACGGGGUCGACUUCGUCACCGGCGAUGGCGACCUGGCGUUCGGCUCCGGCGUCAGGGUCCGUGACACGGUAGGGCCGUUCGAGCUGGUGGUCUCCGAUGGCGCUGGCAGGGGCCGCGCAGAGCUCCAGUUGCCGUCGGUGAGUGCUGUUUGACUUUUAUCUUUGUUGCUUCAGUUUUUUUGCUUCUGCUUGCUUGCUUGCUUGCUAUGCUCUUGAAGUUGUGUGGCCUGUAAGAUGAAGCAGUUACUACAAUUGGUGAAUGGUCUAGCUGCUGCUUAUCCCUUUUCUGUUUGUGACUUUGAAUUGAUUGCGUUUGUUGUAGUGUCUGCACCACCGCCCGUUGAUUAGAAUGCAUGUUCCGGCAGUCCAGGCAUCGAUCACUGGCAAAUUAAAAAGGCAUGAACGCACUAAACAGAAAUUCUGUGUAGAUGAUUCUUGUAUAUGGCAGUGGCACACGCGCUGGUUGAUGAAGCCGCUGGGCCGGAAGGCCCUCUCAUUGCCAUGCUAAUGAGUAUCACGACGAACAUGGCCCCCACCUCAAUGCCUCCCUGUCGGCGGUGAGGUCUGGCCGGAUCUGUACAACCCGCAAUAUUAGUAAAGAAAAAGAAUAGCUUGAUUGUUCUAUGACUCUGUCGUGGAUAGGUAAUUUGCAUCCGAGGUCUAUAGGAUCUCCGCCAUUAGUUUCCCAUUAGAAAAUUGAGUUACUAAAGUAAGGAAGAUGUCCAAAGAGAGGUAAUCGAUGGCAUGAUAUGCAUCAGAAGAUCCUCAUCACUGAAGUAGUACUCCACCAGUCCACCUACAGUUUUGGAACAUAUAAACACGGCAUCAAAGUGCUACCUGGCACCAAAGAAAGAGUUCAGGUCAGGGUGUUAUACUGCAGCUAAGCAGUAUAGUCUGAAAUUCUAAGUUUGAGGAGGAUUUCAGUGUUUCUAAAGAAAGGGACAAGGAUCAGGGCUAUAAGAUUGUUGAAAGACUCAGAGACAUGUAUCAUGAAUCGGUUCCGCAAGCUGCGGCACACAUGGUCUGCCUCCGUGUCGUCCUACCUGCUUCAGGGCCCUCUACUUCUUCCCCCAAGAUUGCCAUUAUGAUUAACAAAUCUGACGAGAGCAAUUUAAUUGGUGACACAUCAUAUUUAUUCUGCAACUGCAUGUGAAUUCUCAUCUUGCGCCUACCUCUUUUGCUUACCAGUGAAGAUGGAGAGCUUUAGGCAAAAAAAGAAAGAAAAAAACUAGCACGUGAUCUAUGGAGAAUAAUUUUGACAGCAACUCCAACUAUGCAAUGGAGUACACUUGAUGCGAUCAAUUCUGGUGUGUGUGUGUGAUGCAAUGACGUAUGAAUAACGACAGAAAAAUAUGCCUGAGGAGUAUGGGUAUGUAGUAACAUUUCUCUGUUAUUUUUGGAACAACUUGGAAUAUCUUAUUGGUAGUUUAUAUACAAAGUCAUUUUGAUAAUUAUCAUGCUGCAAACCUACAUAGUUUUCUAUAUUAAUCAUGUCAUGCUAAAAUAUAAAGGUUAUAGCUUCAAUAAAUUGAUAAAAUACAGAUUUGGGCUUUACAUAUUUAUUGAAUAUAUAUUUACAUAUGAAUACGUCGUUACGGUCGGACUCCAGCGAACAGCAGUGGUUGUUAUACCCCACCAGGUAACUUGCUACUGUUGGUGAAACUCUCUUGUGCAGAAACGCCGAUCUUGAAAUCUUGAUCCUACUUAUAGGCCGUAUUGCAAGCAAUGUACUCAUGUUUUACUGAACAUGUAGGUAACAUGAAAUUUUGAUCUUCUCCCAUCACUGAAAGUUGUGUUUUAAACUUGCAAAAGCAUUGCUAAGCCUAUUCAAUCAUUUCUAUGUUACCCUAGAUUUCACUCCAUACCAUAAUUGAGAUACAAAUGGGCAUUACUGAUGUCGAGGAGAAGAGUUAGAAGCUCUUGGAUUGAGAAUCUGAGAUUUAUAUAGGUUCAGUAGAACAAAAAGUUUCGGAUUCACUACUCCAGAUACAACGAUGCGGUUGCACAGAGGAGUAUAAGGAUUUCUUCAUCGGGCCAGUCCACGUGGAAGAUGUCGCGUUAGCCCAUAUCACGCUGUUUGAAAACCCGGCUGCAUCCGGGAGGCACCUCUGUGUGGAGCCCAUAUGUCACUUGAGCGAUUUCGCGUCCCAAGUCGCGGAGCUCUACCCCGACUACGAAGUCCCGAAAUUACCUGAGGACACGCAGCCUGGGCUGGUGAGAACGGAGGCGGUGCCGAAGAAGCUGAUGGCACUGGGCCUGCAUUUCACUCCUUUGGAAAAGAUCAUCAAGGAUGCGGUGGAGAGCCUUCGGAGAAGAGGAUGCAUCGCCUGAUGGCUGGAUUAUUAGCUGUACCAUAUUCCUUCCCUUCUGUUGUAGGGUCAUGAUCAACCCUUGCUCCAGAGAUGUGUUGUGCCCAGCCCAGUGCUAGACCUUAUAGUUGCCUGUAUGAUUGUGCAAUAACGGCUGGUUGAUCUACUGGUACACCUGUCUGUUCUUGCUAGAUUCUUCCAAGAAGUCCUUGGGUGUUGCAAGGAAGAUCAACGAUGAAUAAUUGUCCAGGAUAAGUGAAGAAAACAGUACUCUCGAAAUAGAACGAAUAAUCCAUUCACAAAAUAUGCCGAGCUUUUUCGGACGGA